rnacentral:tRNA from 1 species
GCGCCCUUAGCUCAGCUGGAUAGAGUACCUGGCUACGAACCAGGCGGUCGGAGGUUCGAAUCCUCCAGGGCGGU